UGGGGAAUUUUGGACAAUGGGCGAAAGCCUGAUCCAGCAAUGCCGCGUGUGUGAAGAAGGCCUUCGGGUUGUAAAGCACUUUUGUCCGGAAAGAAAUCCUUGGCUCUAAUACAGUCGGGGGAUGACGGUACCGGAAGAAUAAGCACCGGCUAACUACGUGCCAGCAGCCGCGGUAAUACGUAGGGUGCAAGCGUUAAUCGGAAUUACUGGGCGUAAAGCGUGCGCAGGCGGUUUGCUAAGACCGAUGUGAAAUCCCCGGGCUCAACCUGGGAACUGCAUUGGUGACUGGCAGGCUAGAGUAUGGCAGAGGGGGGUAGAAUUCCACGUGUAGCAGUGAAAUGCGUAGAGAUGUGGAGGAAUACCGAUGGCGAAGGCAGCCCCCUGGGCCAAUACUGACGCUCAUGCACGAAAGCGUGGGGGAGCAAAACAGGAUUAGAUACCCUGGUAGUCCACGCCCUAAACGAUGUCAACUAGUUGUUGGGGAUUCAUUCCUUAGUAACGUAGCUAACGCGUGAAGUUGACCGCCUGGGGAGUACGGUCGCAAGAUUAAAACUCAAAGGAAUUGACGGGGUCAUAGCUGUUUCCU
rnacentral:rRNA from 1 species